rnacentral:rRNA from 1 species
UACAGAGGUCUCAAGCGUUGUUCGGAUUCAUUGGGCGUAAAGGGUGCGUAGGUGGCGGGGUAAGUCAGGUGUGAAAUUUCGGAGCUUAACUCCGAAACUGCAUUUGAUACUGCCUUGCUUGAGGACUGGAGAGGAGACUGGAAUUUACGGUGUAGCGGUGAAAUGCGUAGAUAUCGUAAGGAAGACCAGUGGCGAAGGCGGGUCUCUGGACAGUUCCUGACGCUGAGGCACGAAGGCCAGGGGAGCAAACGGG